UACGGGGGGGGCAAGCGUUGUUCGGAAUUACUGGGCGUAAAGGGUGCGUAGGCGGCUCGUUAAGUUGGAUGUGAAAACUCUGGGCUCAACCCAGAGCCUGCAUCCAAAACUGGCGGGCUAGAGUUCUGGAGGGGGUAGCGGAAUUCCUGGUGUAGCGGUGAAAUGCGUAGAUAUCAGGAGGAACACCGGUGGCGAAGGCGGCGACCUGGACAGAAACUGACGCUGAGGCACGAAAGCUAGGGGAGCAAACAGG
rnacentral:rRNA from 1 species